UAUCAUUUGUUAGGGGAAAAAAAACAUUCACUAUAUAUUUAAUCACAAUAACUAUAUAUAAGCAUCCAAAACUAGAUGAUCAUAUACCUCCAAGAACACAAAAAGAUUUAAACAAAAAAAUUAUGUUCAUGUCGUACUUGCACUUUUUCUCCCCAUGAAUUAAACCAAAUAAAGUUGCUAUUACAUCCACAACUUGCCUUCUACUCUUUACAAAAUAUACUUGAUCUUUGCAACCUACAUCAUGAAUUGAACACAAAAACAUAGUUACAUUUUGACAUAAAAAAAAUAAUAAAGCUUUAAAAAAUGAGAAGGAAAAUAAUGUUCUGUUAGUAAGUACAAAUAAAAAUAACAAUAUUGAAAAUCUAAAGCAAUGAACAUUUAUCUUUGCAUUAAAGGAGGAAAAGAUCUAUUUCAUUUAUUAGGAGAUUAAGCUAUAAUGUAACGAUAAGCAAUAAGAAUCAAAAUAAUAAGAAGAAUACAAGAAAAGCUAAAUCACAACCCGCCAAGAUCAACAUUUCAAACUCAAAUGGCCAUGGUGAAGCCUUGGCAUAUGGCUCCUAGUGAAAACGAAUAAAACAAUUAUUUGUCCAAAUAAUUACUCAAAGUAAAUGAACGAAAAAAUAAUCUAAAAACCCAAGCUUCUCUUAACUGAAAAAUAAUAAUAAUAUUAAUAAGGACCUUCUCAAAGUAGCAAAAUGCAAAGUUAUUUUCUUAUAGCUGUAAACUAGAUCAAAUUCGCUAUCAAUAGUAAAAUAUAUAAAGUCAUCGUAAAAAAGAAAAGGAAGUGAAAAAAAAUUACCCAAAUAGAUGAACUGGAAAAGCUAGUUGGAAAGAACUAAGACAACUCAUUAGGAGGUCAUGUAAUUGUACUCCCAACAAAAUUUUCAAUUGUAGACAUAUGAGGCAUUACUUUACAUAAAGCUUUCGAGAUUGCAUUGCUAGAUCCAUGCAAAACUCUUAUGGUAUUAGAACCAAUAGGAAUGUGAUGAACAAGUGCAUUUAGAUUACUUGAUGACCAACGCCCUUCAACAACAUCACACCCCACUAAAUCAAGCAUUAUACACUUAGUAACUUUUGGGAAUACCUUCACUGAUAGACAGCAAAUGCAUGAGCCACGAAGAUCUGGAAGAAUCCAAAGCCAAAUCCUAAGUUUGCUACGUGAGGGCAUGAGUCCCAUGCAAGCCAUGCAUGAAACAUGCACUUGCUGAGAUUGUGAAGAUACGUGCUGGAGCUGGAGCCGGAGCUGUGAUCUAGGAAUACGCUUAUCAACGAUUGUGCAGCGAGUAAGGAGGGAAGCUAAGAUACGGAAGUUGUUUUCGAUUCUCUUUCGAUAUCAAAUUUUUAGCUAAGUUGUUAUACUCGUUUAUUUAGCCGUAAUUGUAGGAUGGAAACCAAAGUCUUGUUAUUAUAAAUAAGCUCCAGAAUAUGAAUAAAAGUAUUGAGAAUUCUAAACAACAAUUAUUUGGUCCUUUCUCGCCAUAAGCAGAAAACUAUCACUUGUGUUACGCGUGAUCAUUGGCUGUCUCUGACUGGGACCUAUCAAUUGGUAUCAGAGCGGGUUAACAAUGAUGACCAACAAAGAAAGUAUUGAGCGAAUUGAAGCUGAUCUGGAAAGCCUGGAGAGCCGAAUGGAACGCAUGGAGAUUGGUAUCAAUGACAAGCUUCAGCGAUUAGAAGACACCAUCAACAAAUUAGCAGAAACUUUCAAUGCAUCCAAAGGCACCACUAGCCACGGCACCAACGAAACCAUUGGUUCACCGCAGCCAGUUCGAGAAGAAAGUGAAGGAGUAGUGAAGCUGCACGGUAUGCCCAAGUCAAUCAUCAACGAUCGUGACCCCAUAUUCAUCAGCAAAUUUUGGCAAGAGUUCUUUAAAUUAUCAGGCACCAAAUUAAAAAUGAGCUCGGCAUAUCAUCCUCAAACCGACAGCCAAACCGAGGUAAUUAACCGAUGCCUUGAACAAUACUUGAGAUGUUUUGUUCAUCAGUGGCCACGGAAGUGGCACUCCUAUUUACCGUGGGCUAAGUUUUGGUAUAACACCACCUUCCAUAUCUCCACCGAGAUGAUCCCAUUUCAAGCUCUAUAUGGGAGACCUCCUCCAACAGUGCCAAGGUACGAGCUGGGUGCCUCACCGGUGCACGAAGUUGAUCAAACCUUGAUAUCCCGAGAUGAGCUACUGCUGCAACUGAAGAAAAACUUAACCACCGCAGCUAACAGAAUGAAGCAAAUAGCUGACGUGGGCCGCCGCGACAUUGAAUUCAAACGGGGCGAUAUGGUGUUUUUAAAACUCCAGCCCUACCGUUAAUCAUCUGUGUUUAAAUGGGCACAUCAAAAGUUGGCUUGCAGGUAUUUUGGGCCGUAUUCCAUCCUCCGUAAAAUCGGCGCCAUUGCUUAUGAACUACAACUACCAGCACAUGCCAAAAUUCAUCCGGUGUUUCACGUCUCUUUGCUUAAAAAAGCCGUGGGUGAUUUCCUCUCCACCAGCACCGAAGUGCUACCUGUGACUGAUGACGGAUUGGUGAUACUGGAACCUGAGGCUGUCAUUGACACACAUUGGUUGAAAAGGGGAGGAAAGCUGCUUGAACAAAGUUUGGUCCGUUGGAAGCAUUUGCCAAUCAAAGACGCCACCUGGGGGGACACCACAAUGCUGCACCAACAGUUUCCCAAUGUGACCCUUGAGGACAAGGGUAUUCUUCGAGGAUGGGGCAAUGAUAGACAGCAAAUGCAUGAGCCACGAAGAUCUGGAAGAAUCCAAAGCCAAAUCCUAAGUUUGCUACGUGAGGGCAUGAGUCCCAUGCAAGCCAUGCAUGAAACAUGCACGUGCUGAGAUUGUGAAGAUACGUGCUGGAGCUGGAGCCGGAGCCGUGAUCUAGGAAUACGCUUAUCAACGAUUGUGCAGCGAGUAAGGAGGGAAGCUAAGAUACGGAAGUUGUUUUCGAUUCUCUUUCGAUAUCAAAUUUUUAGCUAAGUUGUUAUACUCGUUUAUUUAGCCGUAAUUGUAGGAUGGAAACCAAAGUCUUGUUAUUAUAAAUAAGCUCCAGAAUAUGAAUAAAAGUAUUGAGAAUUCUAAACAACAAUUAUUUGGUCCUUUCUCGCCAUAAGCAGAAAACUAUCACUUGUGUUACGCGUGAUCAUUGGCUGUCUCUGACUGGGACCUAUCAAUUGGUAUCAGAGCGGGUUAACAAUGAUGACCAACAAAGAAAGUAUUGAGCGAAUUGAAGCUGAUCUGGAAAGCCUGGAGAGCCGAAUGGAACGCAUGGAGAUUGGUAUCAAUGACAAGCUUCAGCGAUUAGAAGACACCAUCAACAAAUUAGCAGAAACUUUCAAUGCAUCCAAAGGCACCACUAGCCACGGCACCAACGAAACCAUUGGUUCACCGCAGCCAGUUCGAGAAGAAAGUGAAGGAGUAGUGAAGCUGCACGGUAUGCCCAAGUCAAUCAUCAACGAUCGUGACCCCAUAUUCAUCAGCAAAUUUUGGCAAGAGUUCUUUAAAUUAUCAGGCACCAAAUUAAAAAUGAGCUCGGCAUAUCAUCCUCAAACCGACAGCCAAACCGAGGUAAUUAACCGAUGCCUUGAACAAUACUUGAGAUGUUUUGUUCAUCAGUGGCCACGGAAGUGGCACUCCUAUUUACCGUGGGCUAAGUUUUGGUAUAACACCACCUUCCAUAUCUCCACCGAGAUGAUCCCAUUUCAAGCUCUAUAUGGGAGACCUCCUCCAACAGUGCCAAGGUACGAGCUGGGUGCCUCACCGGUGCACGAAGUUGAUCAAACCUUGAUAUCCCGAGAUGAGCUACUGCUGCAACUGAAGAAAAACUUAACCACCGCAGCUAACAGAAUGAAGCAAAUAGCUGACGUGGGCCGCCGCGACAUUGAAUUCAAACGGGGCGAUAUGGUGUUUUUAAAACUCCAGCCCUACCGUUAAUCAUCUGUGUUUAAAUGGGCACAUCAAAAGUUGGCUUGCAGGUAUUUUGGGCCGUAUUCCAUCCUCCGUAAAAUCGGCGCCAUUGCUUAUGAACUACAACUACCAGCACAUGCCAAAAUUCAUCCGGUGUUUCACGUCUCUUUGCUUAAAAAAGCCGUGGGUGAUUUCCUCUCCACCAGCACCGAAGUGCUACCUGUGACUGAUGACGGAUUGGUGAUACUGGAACCUGAGGCUGUCAUUGACACACAUUGGUUGAAAAGGGGAGGAAAGCUGCUUGAACAAAGUUUGGUCCGUUGGAAGCAUUUGCCAAUCAAAGACGCCACCUGGGGGGACACCACAAUGCUGCACCAACAGUUUCCCAAUGUGACCCUUGAGGACAAGGGUAUUCUUCGAGGAUGGGGCAAUGAUAGACAGCAAAUGCAUGAGCCACGAAGAUCUGGAAGAAUCCAAAGCCAAAUCCUAAGUUUGCUACGUGAGGGCAUGAGUCCCAUGCAAGCCAUGCAUGAAACAUGCACGUGCUGAGAUUGUGAAGAUACGUGCUGGAGCUGGAGCCGGAGCCGUGAUCUAGGAAUACGCUUAUCAACGAUUGUGCAGCGAGUAAGGAGGGAAGCUAAGAUACGGAAGUUGUUUUCGAUUCUCUUUCGAUAUCAAAUUUUUAGCUAAGUUGUUAUACUCGUUUAUUUAGCCGUAAUUGUAGGAUGGAAACCAAAGUCUUGUUAUUAUAAAUAAGCUCCAGAAUAUGAAUAAAAGUAUUGAGAAUUCUAAACAACAAUUAUUUGGUCCUUUCUCGCCAUAAGCAGAAAACUAUCACUUGUGUUACGCGUGAUCAUUGGCUGUCUCUGACUGGGACCUAUCAAUUGGUAUCAGAGCGGGUUAACAAUGAUGACCAACAAAGAAAGUAUUGAGCGAAUUGAAGCUGAUCUGGAAAGCCUGGAGAGCCGAAUGGAACGCAUGGAGAUUGGUAUCAAUGACAAGCUUCAGCGAUUAGAAGACACCAUCAACAAAUUAGCAGAAACUUUCAAUGCAUCCAAAGGCACCACUAGCCACGGCACCAACGAAACCAUUGGUUCACCGCAGCCAGUUCGAGAAGAAAGUGAAGGAGUAGUGAAGCUGCACGGUAUGCCCAAGUCAAUCAUCAACGAUCGUGACCCCAUAUUCAUCAGCAAAUUUUGGCAAGAGUUCUUUAAAUUAUCAGGCACCAAAUUAAAAAUGAGCUCGGCAUAUCAUCCUCAAACCGACAGCCAAACCGAGGUAAUUAACCGAUGCCUUGAACAAUACUUGAGAUGUUUUGUUCAUCAGUGGCCACGGAAGUGGCACUCCUAUUUACCGUGGGCUAAGUUUUGGUAUAACACCACCUUCCAUAUCUCCACCGAGAUGAUCCCAUUUCAAGCUCUAUAUGGGAGACCUCCUCCAACAGUGCCAAGGUACGAGCUGGGUGCCUCACCGGUGCACGAAGUUGAUCAAACCUUGAUAUCCCGAGAUGAGCUACUGCUGCAACUGAAGAAAAACUUAACCACCGCAGCUAACAGAAUGAAGCAAAUAGCUGACGUGGGCCGCCGCGACAUUGAAUUCAAACGGGGCGAUAUGGUGUUUUUAAAACUCCAGCCCUACCGUUAAUCAUCUGUGUUUAAAUGGGCACAUCAAAAGUUGGCUUGCAGGUAUUUUGGGCCGUAUUCCAUCCUCCGUAAAAUCGGCGCCAUUGCUUAUGAACUACAACUACCAGCACAUGCCAAAAUUCAUCCGGUGUUUCACGUCUCUUUGCUUAAAAAAGCCGUGGGUGAUUUCCUCUCCACCAGCACCGAAGUGCUACCUGUGACUGAUGACGGAUUGGUGAUACUGGAACCUGAGGCUGUCAUUGACACACGCUGGUUGAAAAGGGGAGGAAAGCUGCUUGAACAAAGUUUGGUCCGUUGGAAGCAUUUGCCAAUCAAAGACGCCACCUGGGGGGACACCACAAUGCUGCACCAACAGUUUCCCAAUGUGACCCUUGAGGACAAGGGUAUUCUUCGAGGAUGGGGCAAUGAUAGACAGCAAAUGCAUGAGCCACGAAGAUCUGGAAGAAUCCAAAGCCAAAUCCUAAGUUUGCUACGUGAGGGCAUGAGUCCCAUGCAAGCCAUGCAUGAAACAUGCACGUGCUGAGAUUGUGAAGAUACGUGCUGGAGCUGGAGCCGGAGCCGUGAUCUAAAAAUACACUUAUCAACGAUUGUGCAGCGAGUAAGGAGGGAAGCUAAGAUACGGAAGUUGUUUUCGAUUCUCUUUCGAUAUCAAAUUUUUAGCUAAGUUGUUAUACUCGUUUAUUUAGCCGUAAUUGUAGGAUGGAAACCAAAGUCUUGUUAUUAUAAAUAAGCUCCAGAAUAUGAAUAAAAGUAUUGAGAAUUCUAAACAACAAUUAUUUGGUCCUUUCUCGCCAUAAGCAGAAAACUAUCACUUGUGUUACGCGUGAUCAUUGGUUGUCUCUGACUGGGACCUAUCAUUCACACUCUUCAACUGCAAUAUAAGAACAAUUUAAAAACCAAAAAUAAAUUAUCAUUAAAGAUAAUCCUUCAAUAUUUUUAUUUUUCAUGCUUUAAUUAAAUUUAAAAUGUAAAUAGUAUUCUUACCAUUGAAGAAGUCAAUGGUAUUUUUGGAGGAUUCCCACAUGCUUGGCUUUCAUGAAAAUGACUCUAAAAUGAAAAAUAAAAAUUCAAUAACUAAAUAUUAUAACAAUUAUAUAAAAGUGAAUAAAACAUAAUACAUACUUGCCACCUUUUUAUGUAGCUCUUCAACUAGCUUUCGCAUAUAGGACAAUUCUUUUCGAAAUAAUACUACUUUUUUUAUAUAAUAGAAAACAAUUUAAGAAAUGAUUGUUUAGCUAAAUUUUUAUUAUAUAUAUAUAUUCCCAGAAAAUUUUACAAGAAAGAAAAAUUUGUGUUGAGAGAAUGCUUUGGUCUUUGAGAGCUUGUCCGAAAAUCAACCUCUCCUAAAGAAAAAUUGCUUUGCUCAGCAAUGCCAAUUAAAUCCUGGAUUGACAUAGUUGAAGAACAAGAGCAACAAGAAGCCCAAUCUAAAGACACCAAGGAAAUUUUCCUGUCUUAACUAUAUUCCCAUCUGUUUCUUUCUGUAAUAAAUCUUCAUAAAGAUUCAAGGAUACAAGCGAUUUAACUUGUAAGUUGUAAGUUUCCAUUUGUAAUUUCAAUUUAAAGUUCGGUUGCAUGUUUAAAUUUCUGCAAUUAAUUUAAAGUUUUUUAAUUUUCAUAAAACUUGUUACAUUCCUCUAAGGCAAAGAGACCGGGAUCUCUGCCCUUAGUUGUAUCUUCUCUUCUCCCUCCUUUCAAUCAGAAUACUAUUUUUUGGGAUCCAGAUCUAGUAUUAUCUAUGAGCCUUUCUAAAUUUUGUUGCUAGGCUUGGAUAAAGAACACCAGACCACCUUUUUUUUUUUAAAAAAAUUAUUUUGGUAUAUUGGCUGGAAAACAGAACGUGCGAGAUAUUGAUCUGUUCUAAGUCAAAUCUGGUCUCAAAGGCAGAUUAAGUUCUGCAUCGAUCUGGUAACAACGCCACGUACUGAUUUAAUUAAGUGUGAUUAAUUUAAUUUUUUGCUUAUUAAUUGCAAUUUGAAGUUUUAAAAUUUUGAGUUCUCCAAAUUCAUAUCCAUCCUUCGAUCCAAUUUCCUACUAGUAUCAGAGCCAGUAGGAAAUUGGAUCGAAAUGUAAAUUUCCAUUUGUAAUUUAAAUUUAAAGUUCGGUUGCAUGUUUAAAUUUCUGCAAUUAAUUUACCAGUAGGAAAUUGGAUCGAAGGAUAGAUAUGAAUUUGGAGAACUCAAAAUUUUAAACUUCAAAUUGCAAUUAAUAAGUAGAAAAUUAAAUUAAUCACACUUAAUUAAAUCAGUACGUGGCGUUGUUACCAGAUCGAUGCAGAACUUAAUCUGCCUUUGAGACCAGAUCUGACUUAGAACAGAUCAAUAUCUCGCACGUUCUGUUUUCCAGCCAAUAUACCAAAAUAAUUUUUUUUUAAAAGGGUGGUCUGGUGUUCUUUAAUCAAGCCUAGCAACAAAAUCUAGAAGGCUCAUAGAUAAUACUAGAUCUGGGUCCCAUAAAUAGUAUUCUGAUUGAAUGGAGGGAGAAGAGAAGAUACAACUAAGGGCAGAGAUCUGGGGUCUUUGCCUUAGAGGAAUGUAACGGGUUUUAUGAAAAUUAAAAACUUUAAAUUAAUUGCAGAAAUUUAAACAUGCAACCGAACUUUAAAUUGAAAUUACAAAUGGAAACUUACAACUUACAAGUUAAAUCACUUGUAUCCUUGAAUCUUUAUGAAGAUUUAUUACAGAAAGAAAUAGAUAGGAAUAUAGUUAAGACAGGAAAAUUUCCUUGGUGUCUUAAGAUUCCUAGAAAAUUUUACAAGAAAGAAAAAUUUGUGUUGAGAGAAUGCUUUGGUCUUCGAGAGCUUGUCCGAAAAUCAACCUCUACCUUCUUUCGUUUCCUUCGUCUUCUUUAUAAUGAAAACCGUUGGAUGGCAUGAUGCUAUUCAUUCACAUGCGUGGAUGGAGGAGCGGGACCUCCAAGACAUAUGGGGGACAGCAUCAUUUGUCAUGAACUUGCUUUAUGACCGUGGCUUUAUUGGCUUUUGCUGGAGCUUCACAUGCGUGGUUGGAGAGUCGAGACUUUAAAGGUGAGUGGAGACAGCAUCAUUUUUCUUUUACGACUUUAAAGGAAAAGCAAAAGAUGGGUGAAGAGACAUGUGCGCUCUCACUUGUGUCCAGGGGACCACCCAAAAAUAAAAUAAAUACAGAAAUUACAAUUAUUUACAGAAGGGAAAACAAUGAUUACAAAAGUGCGAAAUAUAAAAUCACUCUUUUUUUUUUGCAUACAAAGUGCUAAAAAUUACAAAUGACUUUAAGAAUGCUUUAUUGGAGAAAAUAUCCCGAAGCAGUCAUCUUCGUUAUCAUCUCCAAGGGAAAUGAACGGCUCAGCUUCACCAGAAGAACUCGAACCAGAACUCGCAACUGAUGGUUCUGAUCUCGAGGCAAGGAGCUGUUGCAUAACUUUAAAAUAUUCCUCUUCGGUUUUUGCACUGGCCAAGAGAGACUGGGCCUUCGUUCUUUGAGCGAGGAAUGUGCUUUGGGCUUUGACGUCUUGAAUGCUUGGAGUAAGGAGUCCUCUUGAAGAAAGCCAAGCUUGAACUGUGGCUUCUAAAAGUUUGGACUAUUCGUCAAACUUAGAUCACCAUUUAACUUUAAAGGUUCUUUGUAAAACGAGUUGGGCUUCUUGAGUGUGGUAAUUGAAAUUCCACAUCCAGACCCAAGGAAGGAAGAAAUUUGUGCAGAAACAGAGAAAAUGAGGAAAUCUUUUCUCAGACUCUGAAGGAACAUAAUGGGUUUUAAAAAGAUUUAAACAUUGGAUAGCGUUAGGGGUAAGAAUAUCUGGGCUUGGCCCAAAAUAGUUCCACCAUUGUUGGAACCAGUUUGGAAGACUCUGGACGGUUAUUUUUGAAUUGAAGAAAAAUAACCAAGAAUGGGUCUUUUUUGGGUUUUGAAUGAAAAAGGUGUUAAACCAGGCUUGCUGAUAAUCCUAAUAAGAAAAGGAUAAGCAAUGGUUUAAACUUCUUUGAAAAUUGGCGAGAAAGGUCUUUAGUUUGUGGAGUUGGUCGUUCCACUGUUUUGGGCUCAAGACUUUAAGAAUGGUUGCCGUGGAAUAGGCAAGCUCAGAAUGAGAUUCACUGAGGAAGAAAUGUUUGAAUUUUACUGACUCAGUGAAUUCUAAAAUAGCUUGAUAGAAAGACUGAGGUUUUGACAAAUCCCAAGGUUUGAAAAACCAACCUUUCGGAAAAAUUUUUAAAAUUGCUUGAAAAGGAUCAGAGUGAUAAAAUCCAUCUUCCAUAGUUAAAACAUUUUGGAAAUGGGUUUUAUUAAUCCAAUCGGAAGGUUUCUUUGAAAACAUUGGUUGGGAAAGAACAAUUUGUGAAGAUGAGCUUUCACCAGAAAGAACUAUAUUUUGGGAAAUUUUAGAAAUCUCUUUAGGGUUUUCUUUUUCAGAAAUUUCUUUAGAAGAUUUUUGGCUUUAAGUAAAACUUUGUAAAGCAAUCAUAAGUUCUGGGGAUUUAGAGAUGGAUUUCAUCCAUUCAUUUACCUGUUCUUGAGAGGCAAUAGCUUUAGAUUGGGCAGAGGCAAUAGCUUUAGAUUGGGCUUCUUGUUGCUCUUGUUCUUCAACUAUGUCAAUCCAGGAUUUAAUUGGCAUUGCUGAGGAAAGCAAUUUUUCUUUAGGAGGGGUUGUUGUUGAGGCUUUGGAGGUGGUUUUAGGUUCAGGGUCUUUGAGAAUACCCUUCCCCUUAUCUCGUCUUUUUGGCGGCAUUAUCUGUUUUGGAGAAAUUCCCUGGUUAGAAAAUUAGGGAUAGAAUUUGUAUCACCUUUAAUAAACUCAAUAUCAAAAUCAAAGACACUUAAAAUGGCUUGCCAUCUUGUAAAAAUUUGUUUUGAAGUAAUAUUUUGCACAUAUUUUUCUAAAACAUGUUUUGCAGCUUUGCAAUCAAUUCUGAGCAAAUAUUUUUUGAUUUAAUAAAUCACUUUGAAAUUUGGAUAUGCAUAAAACAAUAGAAAUAAUUUCUUUUUUAAUAGUAGAAUAAUUUCUUUGACAUUCAUUCCAGUGUGCAGAAAUAUACUGUACAAUCUGUUCUUUAUUUUUCUCUUUUUGUUUUAAUAUUCCUCUAUAUCCUAAGUCUGAUGUAUCUGUUUCAACAAUUUUAGGUAAUGCAGGAUUUGCAAGGAAUAAACAUGAAAUAUUUUUAACAGAAUUCUUUAUUAAUAUAACAGCUUUAGUAUGCUUAUCAGUCCAUGCAACAUGGUUCUUUUUUAAUCUAUCAUGCAAGGGUUUUGACAUCCUGUUGAUAUUGGGACAAAACUCAAGAACGUAAUUUAAACUUCCUAGAAAUCUUUGCAGUUGUGUUUUAUCAAGAAUUUUAUUAGGAAAUUUAUCUGCAAAUACGAGAGACCGCUCAAUAGGAGUAAUGGUUCCUUUGGAAAUGUAAUGACCAAGGAAUCUGAUCUUUGUUUGAAAUAAAGAAACUUUAGAACUAGAAAUGGCUAAACCAGCCUUUCUAGUGGCAAGGUAAAAAGUCUUUAGAUGUUUGAAAUGUUGAUCAAUGGUCUGGUAAAAAAUCAACACAUCAUCAAUGUAAACAAUGCAAAAUUCAGAGAAAGGAUUAUAAAUAUCAUUCAUAAUUCUUUGAAAUUCUGAAGGAGUAUUCUUUAAACCAAAUGGCAUAACAGUCCAUUCAUAUUGUCCAAAAGGCACAGUAAAAGCAGUUUUAUAACAAUCUUUGGGAUGUAUUUGAAUUUGCCAAAAUCUAGACUUCAUAUCAAAUUUUGAAAAAAUAAAUGCAGAAUGCAGUUUCUGGAGCAAAUCCUUUUUAUUAGGUAUGGGAUACCUAAUUUAUUUUAAUGCUUUAUUUAAGGGUUUGUAAUUUAUUACAAGUCUAGGUGUUCCUCUUUCUAUUUAAGAGUUUUGUUGACAUAAAAAGCGGCACAAGACCAUGGAGACUUAGAUUUUGUAAUAAGACCUUUUGAUUCUAAAUCUUUUAUCUCAUCUUUACAAUGUUGUUCCAAUUCCAUGUUCAUCUGGAUCGGACGGGCUUUGGUAGGUAUUUAUUUUUCAUCAAAAGAGUUUUCAUAGGGCAAAUCAACCAAAUGUUGUUUUAUGUUCCAAAAAGCAGAUGGAAGAUCUGCACAUAUUUCUUUUUCAAUGAGGUCUUUAAAAUCAGAGAUUUUUCUUUUUACAAUUCAUUUUGUAAUUGGUUUUCAAUUCUUUGUAAACUCAAAUCUUUUUUUAAACAAAUUAGGUCAUUUUGUUUUGAUUUGAGGAGAGCAUUGAUUUGGUUCUGGUAAACAGAACAAGCUUUAACGAUCUUCAAGUUUCUUGUUUUGGGUUUUUCAAUAAAAGGAAAAACAAGUUUUUUAGUUUUUGCUUUAAAGGAUAUACUAUCGUAGUUGACAGUAUAUGGAGUAAUGAGAUUGAUAAAAGGAGUUCCUAAUAUAACAGUGUGAUGGAUAUCAUUAGUUAAGAGGAAGCAAUUCCUGAAUUCAAAACCAUUGUUAUGAAUAGAGGCGUCGACUUUAGAUUUGACUUUUAAUUUUGAAUUAUUGGCGGCUGAGAGUCUUUCAUUUGUCUUUUCAUGAAAUCUUUUAGGGACAAUAUCUUCUUUAAUGCAGUUUAAAUCGGCACCGGUAUCAAAAAGGGCAAUUGUGUCAAUUUCAAAGUCUUUAGAAAGGAUUAAAGUAAUUUUUAUCAAGUCUUUUCUUGUGGUGAUUUGUUUUAAAAUAAACAGAAAAUCAUUGGGUAUAGAUUCAAUGUUUUCGACGUUUUGUUCAUUCUCACCAUCAGAUUCAACAUCUUUAUCAAAAUUAUCUUCUAAUUGUUUUUAUAAGAGGAGUUGAAUGGUUUCAGAAUCAUUUUUUUGUUUUUCUUUUAAUUCUUUUAUCUCAAGUUUGAUUUCUUUAAUCUCUUUUUGAAGAUCCUGGAUGUUAGGAGUCGUUUUCUUUGUUUUCUUUUUAUCAAGGAUUUCAGUGAGGUCAUAAGUAUUCUUUUUAGUUAUUGGGGCUUUAGAAGUUUCUACUUUAUUGAGUUCUAAGGUUUUUAAAAGUUUAUCGAGGUAUUCUUUUUGGAGAUUUGGAUCCGAAAUAUGUUUAACUAAUUCAAGAAAAGUUUCUUGUUCUUUAGUCAAUACAUUAAUCUUCUUUAAAUAGGACUCUGCGACAGAAUCAUUAUUACUGGAUACAGAUGUAUCUGAGUCGAUUAACUCAUCAAUCUGUAAGGGCUCACUAUCUCCCGUCAUAGAAGACUCAGAGUCAGAUGACUCUACCAUUAAGGAAGCUACUUUAGAAAGUAUUUCUUCAUCAAGGCCAAGCGCAUGGAGCUUUCUGCUCAUUCUACAGAACUUUGCAGUGUGGCCUUUCUUUCCACAUUUAAAACACGUGGCUUCUUUGUAGUUAAAAGGGGUUUUUGUUGUGACUUUAGAGGUUUUCUUUUUAGAGAAAUGAGGUUUUCUAUAAGGCUUCGAAGGUUUCUUAUGGAAAGGUUCUUUAAAGCUGUGGAAGGGUUUUCUAUGGCUUUUAGAUUUGUAAUGUUUCUUGUAAGGUUUUGAAGAACAUUCACCAUUACAAUCUUUAAAAGCGGAAGUUUUAAAGAGGUCAUAGUUGAAUUGCUUAUAGAAACUGCCUAAUUCUUGCUUAAAUUUUAUAAUCUCCCAUUUUAGACGUUUUUGAAGUUUCAAGUCUUGACAAAUCUUUAAACCUUCCUCAUUAACAAAACUGACUAAUUCACCAUAGGUGAGUUCGUCAUAAGGAAUACGGUUGUCAUAAAGGGCUUUAAUAGAAUUCCUAACCUUUUCUCCUAAUAGGGUAGGUAAACCUGCAAGGAAUUUUUCCUUCCAAGUUAUAUGAUUUGCAUCAUCCCUAAGGAAGAGUCUGGUAAAGAAUGUGGUUUUAUAGAUUUGGAAUUCACUAAGUUUUCUACAUCUCGGGUUGUGUAGUAACUCGGCGUUCUUGUCUCUAAGGUGUGAGGGAUCGCCUAUGAAAUGAAGGGAUAUGGUCAAAAUCAGGGUAGCAACAGCAUCCUGAAUUGGACUAUUGAAUUCAUCAAGAAUGGGGGCUCCAUUUUCAUCCGUUUGGAUAGAAUUUAGGAUAUCUAAUUGUUACUGUUUGGUGAGAAGAUGAUCCCACCAACCUUUAAGUUGACCUGUAAAACUAGCAAUGAUAAUUUCUGUAAUGGCCUUGUCAGAAGUUUCCGACUGUGUUUUAUAUGCAUUGGCUGCCAUGGUCAUCUGUUGCAACAAUCCUAAAAUAUUGUAUUCAAACAUACCAUCAAUGUUCCACUCAUAGACAGAGAAUGCAUUAAAUCGUGAUUGGUUUAAUGCAGCAGGCCUGUUGUCUAUGGCAAGGUCAGGCGAAAACUUGACAGUAGGUAGGGCUAAUUCCCAAUGGAUUUUUUGGCUUUGGAAACAGGUUCUUCUUUAAAGGCUUCUAUAUCAGAAGAGGCUAUAGACACAUUGUGUUGUACUAGUACACCAAUUUUACUAGAUUGGACACUAUCAGGAGCUAUUUGGAUUUUACUAGAUGAAGAAGAAGAAGCUUCUAUCCUAUUUAGUUGUUCUCUAAUGGCUUUAGCAAAAUCUGAUUUUGACUCUUGAACAAGCUUUUGACUAGUUUUCGAAACCUGAAAAGGUUUGAAAAUAGGCUCUUUAAGCUUUUUGUUAGAAUCCGACUUUGAUGUAACAAGAGAAACAACUAUGGUUGACUUCUGGAAUUGGUUUUCUAUUCUGGUCAACUGUUUUCCUAUUGUAUUUAGAUUGGCAUUACAGAAAUUAUUCUGUUGGAUAAUGCUAUCUAAAUCUGUUUCUGGAUCUUUAUGGAUUUUUGUAAGGUGAGGCUUUAAUCUGGAUAGGAGGUUCACCAUGAUGAAUGGUUAGACUCCUAAGCGGAGGAUGUUCAGACUCCAUACUCCUAUCACUAUCGGAAAGAUUUCAUUCAGUGAUUUUCUUUCUGAUAGUAAUGGGGUUUGAUUCUUUAAAAGGAUAUGAAAUGUUGUUAUCCGAAGCAUACAUCUCAAACCAGUCAAAAAAUAAUAUAUGAACUUUAUGCAUAUUAAUAAACUCAUAAAAAGUUUCUUGAAUUUCUUUUCUUUGAUUUAAAAAAUGUUUGAAAAACCAAAGUCUUUUUUCUUUAUUUUUAUCAGAAUAAAAAUAAUUGUGAAGAAGAGUUUUAUCCAGUUCAAAAUCCAUUUCUAUGACACUAAUCACAUUUUCUGUGACUGCAGAAAAUGUAGGAGAAGUUGGAGGAGAAGGUUCCUUCUCUUCCCGACUUUGUUCAUGUUGACGGCUAGUGUAGAUGGGAUGAAGAACACUAGUUGUAUAAUCAACAGAAUGUAUAGAAGAACUAGGUAUAUCCGAAGUGGAAAACCUAGGUUGACUUUUUAUUGGUUGGAAAGGGAGAUUUAUUACUGAAGGAACUUUUGAAAACUUCCUUUCCCAUGAAGGAAUGCUUGAGCAUGAAUCUUUAUCAGAGAAUCUAGAUGAUGUAGAUCUCCUAAAGGAUAAUUUGACUUUACCAUCAGAAUACUGAGUCACAUUUUGUAACUCUGUAUUUGGCUCAAGUUGUUUAGGAAUCAUUGGUGCAGUGGCUCCUUCAAGAAUCCAUUCGUCCGGAAGAUUGACAUCUUUCCAUUGGAUGGGUUUUGGAAUAACAGUAUUGGCUUUAGACAGGUCAGUCUGUAAGAGAAGGGUCUCAUCUCUUUUUGACUAAAAUUUGUGUUGCGUGCUAAAUGCAGAAAUCAUGGCUUUGUAAGAAAUUUUAUAAAUUAAGGUAACUGGGACAGAUCCCUCAAUCAUGUGAUAAUUAUGGGUCUUGAUUUGUAACAUCAUGCUUUUUAAAAUGUUCUUGUCUUUUAGAGAAAUUGUUAUGUUCGGGUAACAGCUGAAUGAAAUUGGUCCUUUACAAAGACUUGAUUUUAUACUACUUAGUAAAGAAUCAUAAAAAGAGAUGAAUCGCCCAUCUCUAAGGACAACAAGAAUAGAAGUAUUUAGACCUUCUUUUGUUAAGGGUUUUAUAUCAACUUGUACUAAGCCGAUGUGAACAUAUUUAAAAUUUUUAUCUUUUAAUUUCUUUAAAGAUUGUUAUGAAAAUAGGUGAAUAGUUUCAAAUGGUUUUGAAAGAGUUAUGUCUCGUUCUUCAGUUUUUAUAACAUAAUCAUUCUUUAAAAAAUCAAGCUUUUUUAUUUUGUAAAUCAUUUCUUUAGAAAUCUUUGGCAAUUCCCAAUUAUCAAUUGCUUUAUUAAAGUCUUCAAUUACAAAUUCUUCCGAAUUCACAACAUUCUUUGAAUCACUAGUUCUUCCGGAAGAAGAGCUAGAAAAGGACGAUACUCUAUAGAGCAGAGAAUCCAUGGGUCAAGACCUAUAUUUUAGUAUCAGUCUUGUCGGUAUGGCUACAAUCCAAGGCUAAGAAUUGGUUUUACUGCCCUUCAACAGUGUGAUGGAUAUCAUUAGGUUUGAGAAGAGCAUUGAUUUGGUUCUGGUAAACAGAACAAGCUUUAACGAUAUUCAAGUUUCUUGUUUUGGGUUUUUCAAUAAAAGGAAAAACAAGUUUUUUAGUUUUUGCUUUAAAGGAUAUACUAUCGUAGUUGACAGUAUAUGGAGUAAUGAGAUUGAUAAAAGGAGUUCCUAAUAAAACAGUGUGAUGGAUAUCGUUAGUUAAGAGGAAGCAAGUCCUGAAUUCAAAACCAUUGUUAUGAAUAGAAGCGUCGACUUUAGAUUUGACUUUUAAUUUUGAAUUAUUGGCGGCUGAGAGUCUUUCAUUUGUCUUUUCAUGAAAUCUUUUAGGAACAAUAUCUUCUUUAAUGCAAUUUAAAUCGGCACUGGUAUCAAAAAGGGCAAUUGUGUCAAUUUCAAAGUCUUUAGAAAGGAUUAAAGUAAUUUUUAUCAAGUAUUUUCUUAUGGUGAUUUGUUUUAAAACAAAUAGAAAAUCAUUGGGUAUAGACUCAAUGUUUUUGAUGUUUUGUUCAUUCUCACCAUCAGAUUCAACAUCUUUAUCAAAAUUAUCUUCUAAUUAUAUAUAUAUAUAUUAACCAUAUCUUCCGCCGUUCUAACAACUCAUCUAUGCCUUGUUGUUUAUGGGAUUUAUUUCUAGCUAAUCUUUCUAAAUAUUUCAUUUCUUUCCUACACAAUUGGAUAAGCUUUGUUCAGUUACAUAGAUAUGGCUAUAAUUACAUAUUCUAAUAUAGUAAUACACUUAUCUUAAAUUUUUCACUGUUUCUUUUUCUUUCACAAAACUUUUCCACUCACUUAUUGAUAAGAUAUUAUCAUGUCUUAACUUCAUUCUUUCUUGCUCAUUUUUUCCAAGUUACACAUAUAAAACACAAAAAAUAUGAGUUAGUUUAAGAACACAACCCAUAAAAUUUAUAAUGCAAAAACUUUAAUAAUUGUUAAAGAGAUGUUGGCCCCCAAACAAGUUUUGAAAAAUGUUAAAAUGAAAUAAACAAUGCCAGAAAAUUGUAUUUGGGACUUAAGUUUGUUUACUAAACCUACUUCAGUGUUGAUAUGCACAUUGCUACAAAUCUAUUGAGUGGGAAGCUGAUAAUUUCUCCAUCAAAUGCUAAGACUAUACCAAGCAAACAAUAGCUUUGAGAUUCUACAAUUAAAAUUGUGUUAAUACUAACGAUUACAAAAUAUAUCAAAACCCAAGAUCAAUUUGCUUGGGAAAGAAAGAAAUCAUAACCAGCCAAGGUAUAAUAAUAGCAAAUAAGCUAAAAAAAAUAAAACAGAUGCAACUAAUAGUAAGUAUUGCUUGAAUGCUAGGGAUUUAGUGAUUAAAAAAAUAAGUUAUAAAACUAUUAAUAAUCCACAAAUAAUUAAGAAGAUAACAUGAUUUUUCCUUUUAAAUGUUCAAUCAUCAAACCCAAAUACAAAUAGUAAAUAAAUCAUUUUAAUCAUUAAUUGCUCAUGUAGAUGGAAGAAAGAGCACCCAAAUUGGGGUUAUAUAUUUGUUUCAGCCAUGGGUAUAGUAGCGAAAUUGAAGUUGCAUGAGUGAGAAUCCUUACCAAAUCAAUUAGAUGACUUCUAAAUUACCGAAAAGCCAGCCUAAUCUUUCUCAAGUCAGCGAAUAUAUGUGAAGUGGCCAGGGAAUCGUCGUCCAUUUUUUUCCUUUUCUUUUUCCCUUUUUCCUUUUUGAGAUUUGGUGAGUAUUAGAAUGGAUAAUAGACAUUAGAGGAGAAUUCUCUAGAAAACUGUAGCGGGAAGGGAAAUAAUGUAGGCGCCUUUCGUUUUUUUUU
rnacentral:lncRNA from 1 species